CACUGGACGCAGCGGUUCAUCGAUCUAUUCCCUUAACACUGAUAUAUAUGCGAAAAACAGCAAAAGGGAAUCGGUCGAUAAACCUCUGCAUCCAGU
rfam:Capsicum annuum cultivar Zunla-1 unplaced genomic scaffold scaffold181, whole genome shotgun sequence